rnacentral:lncRNA from 1 species
UAUUAUAACCCUCGUGGUUACCAAGUGUCAUACAAGUGUUACGUGUUGAAGAUGAUUAUGUUGAUAUAAUACUUUCAUGUUGUUUUAUUCCGAAUCUCGACUCUAAGCAUACUUGAACUUUAACCCUUAUACAUUCGGACUCUAAAUCUCUACUCGUCAACAAUUGGAUAAUCGGAAAUCAUAUGCAAACUUUGUUGAUGAUGAUGCUAUAAAAGAAGUAGCGUUGAUGCCUAGAUACACAUAUAGACGUUAGGGUUGAAUAUGUUGUAUCAAAUUUUGUUAUGUUAUCAUGUUGUAUUGGUUAAACUUGUUGUAUUUGGAAUUUCUUGUAAUGUUGACUAGUUGAAGUUAUGAAAUGAAACUU